UAUAUUAUUAUGCUAGUGGUGGAUUAUAUUCCGCUGCCUAUGUUAUUUAUGUUUAUGUUCUUGUUGAGUCACUCGGGUUUCCAUGGGGAAGUAUCGAGUGAUGAUUAUUAUUGUUGUUAAGUUAUUGUUAGGUGAACUCCUCGUCUUAGAUUGUUUUGUGUUGGGAUGGCGAGGGGUUGUAUUUGUUAGUUGGGGAUCAUAAUUCACUGAGAAACAUUAGGUUACUCAUCAAACUCCGUUGUCCUUUUUGCAGGUAGCUUAGGUAAGGAUGAUCGGAUAGCUGGGUGCAGGAUGUUAGGACCGCCGGUGUAGAUUUUCAUGCGUUUUGUUAACGGUAUUGUGGAUUUGUGUAUAGUUUACUCGAUUUGGCAUUAGGCCGGGACCGGUCUCGAAUUAUACUAAUGUAUGUAUAUUUCCUCAAUCAAUAAAAGUAAAUGUUUUAUAUGCGCUUCAUGAGUACUCUGAUAUUUGACUAGUCCGGUCUAACACAACGCUAGGUCGUAGUACGGGUUGAAAAGCCUUAGGCCUCGAUCUAACGGAGAAGCUAACUCUUGGUACGGGUUGCAAAGCCUUGUGCCUUGACGCAGCGGGACGAGUUAGUGGAUGAACUGGUCUAGGUCGUGGAGUAAAUUUCGUGACUCUGACCGGAUCGUCCCUAGCCCGUCACGUAGCGCUUCCGGACCAUGGUGUUGGGUUGGACGGCCAGUCAUGUUCUUGUUUGAUUGUUGGCUGGCCGGUUGGAUCAAUCGUCUCCAACCCUGGGUGUUGGACGGUCGAUCGGUCAUGUUCUUGUUUGAUUGUUGGCCGGUUGAUCGACCAUAUGUCUAGGACGGUUCGGAGGUGUUACAGUCGGGGGCAUUUGUAUUUCAUAGUCAGAGGUAAAAUUCUUGGAUUUAUGAAAGAUGAACAACUGCGAAAGCAUUUUCCAAGGAUGUCUUCAUUAAUCAAGAACGAAAGAUGGGGGCUCCAAGACGAUCAGAUACCGUCCUAGUCUCAACCAUAAACGAUGCCGACCAGGGAUCAGCAAAUGUUGCUUUUAGGACUCUGCUGGCACCUUAUGAGAAAUCAAAGUUUUUGGGAAGGCUGAAACUUAAAGGAAUUGACGGAAGGGCACCACCAGGAGUGGAGCCUGCGGCUUAAUUUGACUCAACAUGGGGAAACUUACCAGGUCCAGACAUAGUAAGGAUUGACAGACUGAGAGCUCUUUCUUGAUUCUAUGGGUGCUGGUGCAUGUCCGUUCUUAGUUGGUGGAGCGAUUUGUCUGGUUAAUUCCGUUAACAAACGAGACCUCAGCCUGCUAACUAGCUACGUGGAGGCAUCCCUUCACGGCCGGCUUCUUGGAGGGACUAUGGCCAUUUAGGCCAAGGAAGUUUGAGGCAAUAACAGGUCUGUUAUGCCCUUAGAUGUUAUGGGCCGCACGCGCGCUACACUGAUGUAUUCAACGAGUUCACACCUUCGCCGACAUGCUCGGGUAAUCUUUGAAAUUUCAUCGUGAUGGGGAUAGAUCAUUGCAAUUGUUGGUCUGCAACGAGGAAUUCCUAGUAAGCGCGAGUCAUCAGCUCGCGUUAACUAUGUACCUGCCCUUUGUACACACCGCCCGUCGCUCUUACCGAUUGAAUGAUCCGGUGAAGUGUUCGGAUCUCGGCGACAUGGGUGGUUUGCCGUCUGCAACGUCGCGAGAAGUCCACUAAACCUUCAUUUAGAGGAAGGAGAAGUCGUAACAAGGUUUCCGUAGGUCAACAUGGCGAAG
rnacentral:rRNA from 1 species